rnacentral:rRNA from 1 species
GACGAACGCUGGCGGCGUGCUUAACACAUGCAAGUCGAACGGAAAGGCCCUGCUUUUGUGGGGUGCUCGAGUGGCGAACGGGUGAGUAACACGUGAGUAACCUGCCCUUGACUUUGGGAUAACUUCAGGAAACUGGGGCUAAUACCGGAUAGGAGCUCCUGCUGCAUGGUGGGGGUUGGAAAGUUUCGGCGGUUGGGGAUGGACUCGCGGCUUAUCAGCUUGUUGGUGGGGUAGUGGCUUACCAAGGCUUUGACGGGUAGCCGGCCUGAGAGGGUGACCGGCAACAUUGGGACUGAGAUACGGCCCAGACUCCUACGGGGGGCAGCAGUGGGGAAUAUUGCACAAUGGGCGGAAGCCUGAUGCAGCAACGCCGCGUGCGGGAUGACGGCCUUCGGGUUGUAAACCGCUUUAGCCUGUGACGAAGCGUGAGUGACGGUAAUGGGUAAAGAAGCACCGGCUAACUACGUG